rnacentral:piRNA from 1 species
UUACAAUGCCAUCUGCUGCCAAGCA